rnacentral:pre_miRNA from 1 species
AAUUUCAACUGAAAAAGUCAUCAACAACAAAGUUGUAUAACUCAUUAAGAUCUAUAACUUUUAUUUUGGUCAUUUCUUCAUCCGACAAAGUGAUUAUAACAUUGUACACAAAAUUUGCAUUUAUCUCAUUUGGUUUAUUAAACUAUAAGAGAGAUAUGUAAACUUUGUGAAAAAUAUUAUUAUCAAUUUAUCGGAUGAAGAAAUGACCAAAAUAAAAGUUGUAUGUCUUGAUGAGCUCUGCAACUUUCAUGUUCGUGUACAGGUGAAAUU